AUGGUGAGCCAGCGAGCUAUCGAUGGUGGGCGCCAGACGUGAAAGCGGGGCAGCACAGCCUUCUCAGUCACUACCGCGACGGAUCAAGCAGCCCCCACACAGGCUUGCCUCCUCCUCCCGUGCCUGUCCGCCACUGUCGCUCCUCCGCCUCUCACCGCCCACACGUGGUGCUUCUGCCCGUGCUGGCUUGCCGCCGCUGCUGUUCCGCUCGUCCAAGCCGCCUUCCUCCUACAGCCGCGACGGAAGGAUCAGGCAGCCCCCGCACGGCCUUGCAUCACCGCGGAGCUCUCAUUCGACUACCGCCUCGCCCCUGAGCACUGCCUCCCCGCCUCCCAGGAAUACGACACCAAGGCUAUAUCAUGGCUCCGCGCGGACGCCACCGUCGACCCCUGGCUCGCCGACGCAGCGGACGUCGCCCGCAUAUUCGUUGCCGACGACUCGACCGGUGGCAACAUCACCCACCACAUCGCCGCCACAUUCGGCAAGACCAACCUCAACCCGCCGGUCUAGCUCCGCGAGUACUUCCUCCUCACGCUAGCUAUGGUCGGCGAGGCCCGGACGUGCGUCGAGAUGGAAUGCCUGCCCGACGCGUUCCUCACCAAAGUGGCAUGGGGAUGGAUCCACGAGACUUACUCUGGCCAGUUGCUCUCCUCUCCCCGUCGUCGAUCGCACCCUUGAUAUCUCCGAUCGUCAACGCAGUCAAGGAGCGUAGCCCACUUAAUAUCUCCGACGUGGAGAACCACUUCAAGGUUCCAGUGCUGGCCUUGAUGAAGGCAACGUGUCUAAAUGGAGGCCUCUACUGGGGCACGACAGAUUCAUAUGUUUUUUUUCUUUUGUGCAGCCAUGCAAUCCUAGUUGCAAUCUUAAUCACAAUUACUAUCCACUGGAUUUUAUUAUGUAGCCUAAUGGUGCUAAGUUCUCAAGCUAAUUGUUGCAAGUUUAGUUUUGGAAUCAAAAUACGAAUCAUAGUAUCUUUCCAUAUGUGCCAGCUUGCAACAACACCAGCAUGUCCAUGCCUGAGCUUGAAAUCGUUCAUUGAUGUUUGACAAACAGGUACCAUACCCUUGAUUAGCAACAAAGAAACAAAAUAACUUUCCCUGAAAAACUCUUCAGAUUAAUUUUGUGUGGUCUCAUUCUUUAUGUGGCUUUGUUUCCUCUUCGUUCUUUUUUAGGGCAGAUAAGGUUCUAUAGUUGCUACCUUGAAUGUUCAGAAGAUGAAUUGCCUUUUAGGUGUUCAUUUCUUAGAAAUCUCGGGCAAGAAAAUUAAGCAAUGCGGUCAUACCUACACUCUAUAUUGUUGAAAUGGCUUGAAAAGAUUAACUUAAAGAGUAACACCUUACUGUUUGUAUCUAACAUUGUCGAUACUAUUCUUUUGUGAAAGAGACAUUGUCAAUACUUGGUGCAAUUGAUCUUUUGUCAAUAAUUUCUUGAUUUUGUAAGGUGUUGGUCACACAAAGAUGCUCCCUGCUAUGGUUUUGGCAGCAAUAUUCGAUCCAUUCUUCGAACAAAUUUUUAAGUGAACCAACUCAUACACUUGAGUAACACUCUUUCUUUUCUUUACUUUUAGAACAAGUAAGCCCUUUCUUUGAUAUGGUUGCAGACGGCUUAAGGGUAGUACCUUCGCUGCUGGUUCAACUCAUCGCGUGCCAAGAUUUCAUCCUCCAGAACAUGAAGGAGCACUAUAUGCCUAUAUGAAGCAAUUAGCACUUCCUCCACUUUCAUAUGUGCUUUUGCAAUGACCAAAUCGACUAGAGCCCAAAUAUACUUUUCUCAGAUAUCAAGCCAGACAAUUUUCUGAUAGAUCUUGGUAAAAGGGCACAUCCGGUGAUUAGAUAUGUUUUCUCAAUCUACCUUUACUCAUAGGAUCAAUAGGACGUGCACUUGUUAAUUACUUUCAAUUGCUGUAUAAAUUUACAUUUUAUAUUUUGGACUUGCAAAGAAGUAAAUAGUUUUGUAAUAUAUGUCAUUACCCUCAAGAAAAAAUGUAUAUUUUGCUCUG